UAGGGAAUAUUGCGCAAUGGGGGAAACCCUGACGCAGCGACGCCGCGUGAGUGAUGAAGGCCUUCGGGUCGUAAAGCUCUGUUGCAGGGGAAUAAGAAAGUGAAUGUACUCUGCGAGAAAGGGACGGCUAACUUCGUG
rnacentral:rRNA from 2 species